AAUGCACCUAAAGUUGGUUUGCCAUCCGCCAAUAAAAAUCAGAAGAAGAAGAAGAAGAAGAAGAAGAAGCAGUGCCACGGCCAAGAUGGCUGCCGACCCGGAAGUGACUGAUUUACAGCCGAGUGAGCAGGCAGAAUAUGACACACAUUUAAAUGCUGGAGAAGAGGACACAAGACAUUAUGACAUAAUGAGAAAAAGGAGAAGAACUAAGAGCCUGGAACGAUUUACUGCAUUUACCUAUGUUUGAAAACCAAGAUAUUGAAAACCAAGAUGUUUGGAAAACAAACUGCAUUUGAUUUCAUCCUAAAAACUUUUAGAACAAGAAAAUUUCUUUAAAAAAUCUUAUUUAAUCUUUAAAAUAAGAAGUGAGUCAAAAGAUUAUUCUUGCACUUAAUAAAGUCAUGAUGCUCGUUAUGUGAAAUAUAGAGAUAUACUGAAAAAGUUCUUACCUCGAGCUCUGUAACAUAUGAGCAGCAGAAUGAUGGUCACCAGCAGAUACGGAGAGGCCGUCACCACACUACAGAUCAGCAUGAGCACUGAGAAUGGAGCUUCUACACCUGAAGGACAUGAAGCAGAAUAAAAGAAUAAUUAUAAUCAUGUUUAUUUCAUUCUGAACUGUUUAGAUGUUUUAGCUCAAUCUGCAGUUCAAAUAAAUUAAUUUAUACCGUG